rnacentral:rRNA from 1 species
UACGUAGGGUGCAAGCGUUAAUCGGAAUUACUGGGCGUAAAGCGUGCGCAGGCGGUUUUGUAAGUCUGUCGUGAAAUCCCCGGGCUCAACCUGGGAAUUGCGAUGGAGACUGCAAGGCUAGAAUCUGGCAGAGGGGGGUACAAUUCCACGUGUAGCAGUGAAAUGCGUAGAGAUGUGGAGGAACACCGAUGGCGAAGGCAGCCCCCUGGGUCAAGAUUGACGCUCAUGCACGAAAGCGUGGGGAGCAAACAGG